GCCAUGUUACAGAUGCGGAAUAUUCUGUGGAUGAUGUCCUCAUCGAUGUCUGCGGAGACGAAUUCCACCUGGAUGGGCCCGUAGCACCCCGAGGUCUUCUCAGGCCAGUACUGCAUACAGAGCUGAGGUGCUGCACGAAAACAACAACAAUGAUCAUAGCUAACAUAUAAAUUUGAAGAAUUCUUCCUCUUAUCACCCGUCUUAAAUAGCAAAGGUCACUCUCCACCAUGUCCAGAGGGCUGGGAAAGGUUGCAGAGUCCUUCUAAUCCUCCAUCAGAGCCAGCCUUUCACUUGAGUUCCCUAAUCCGUGAGACGACAUCAGCAAUGGUCUGGGUGACAUUCAGCCGGGUAACGUGUGGGCAGAUGUGGUAUUUCAGCUGCCACGGAUCAUCAGGGUCUGCCCCCAGGCCGGGACGCUGCACAUCAUCUAGCCAUGGGAAAUGGGAGAGAGAAUGGGGGAAGCCCAUGCUCUGUUCCUGGUGACCCUCUGGGGCUCGGAAAUGAUUCUCAUCAAUAAGAAAUGUCCUCUAAGGUUUAGCUCAAGACUGUCCUGGUGUCCAAGUGCUGGGGUUGUGCCUCAGUGGGUACCACCACUUUGGCCCAUGUAUGCAGCUUAGCAAAAGGUAAUGGGGCUCCUGCUUGAGGCGCCCUGGGCUCAAAUCCCAGCCCUGUCACUCCCUAGCUGAGUGACUUGGUCAAAUCUCUUAGCUUCUCUGGGUUAAGUGAUGAGUGGCUGUGACUCUGAAUGUGUCUACUUAGCACAGGCGUCUGUAGCUAGUAAGUACUCCAUAAAUGUAAGCUAUAAUUAUUUGGCAGUGUGGGAGAGGGUCACUCAAAACAAGGUGGAUAAAGUGAAGGGUCUUUUUCCCUCUACUUAGCAGCCCGUAUGAAAAUUUCCCUUUAGGAUAAUAAUACCCAAAGGACUGCCCUUGUGAAAAUUCCUGGUCAGCCAGCCUGACAGAGCAGUGGGGACAGGUGCCACCUGUGAUAUGGGGACACUGUUCUGCAUGGCAGAGGAGAGAGGACUGUGGGUUGUUCUUGAGAGGGACCUAGGAGAUGGAAGAGGGAAAGUAGGAGCAUAAGGGAACCAGUGAAAGGGCUGAGGGUGAAUCAGUGUGUCAUGUGAGCCCCCCUCUCCUAAACUCCUAAAUAUUAAGCAAAUUUAUAAUAACAAACAAACACGGACAAUGCUCAGUGUGCAUGGGGGUUUCUUGUGGAAGCUGGUGAGGAACUGAGCUUUGCUCCCUUGGUGACUUACGUGGUCUCAGCUCCACUUCUAUGUGAACUGAAGGGCCAGACCAUGAGCACAUAAGCAUCGACAGUUUAUAGGAGAGCCGCCAAGAUGGUGGAGUAGAAAGACCCAGAGCUCACCUCCUCUCAUGAGCACACCAAAAUCACAACUAUCUGCAGAACCACCAUUGGUGAAAAAGACUGGAACCUACCACCAGAAGAUCUUCUGCAAUUAAAGACAUAAAGAAGGAACCACAAAGAGACAGGUAGGAGGGGCAAACUCACAACAUAGUCAAAUCCCAUACCCCUGGGUGGGUGACCCACAAACUAGAGAAUAAUUACAUUACAGAGGUUCUCUCACAGGAGUGAGAGUUCUGAGCCCCACGUUGGGCUCCCCAGCCUGGGGGUCUGGUACUGGGAAAAUGAUCCCCCAGAGCAUUUGGCUUUGAAGGCCAGUGGGACUUGAUUUUGGGAGUCCCACAGGACUGGAGGAAAUAGAGACUUCACUCUUAAAGGGUACACACAAAAUCUCACACUCGCUGGGACCCAGGGCAAAAGCAAUUUGAUAGCCUGGGCCAGACCUACCUGCUGGUCUUGGAGAGCCUCCCGGAGAGAUGGGGAUGGCUGUGGCUCACCCUGGGGCCAUAGACACUGGUGGCAGCCAUAUUUGGGAACAUUCUACCGUGUGAGCACUGCUGGUGGUGGCUGCCAUCCUGGCUCAUCAACCCCACCCAAAAGCCUAUAGGCGCAAGUGCUGGGAUGCCUCAGGCUAAGUAACUAACUGGGCAAGGACACAGCCCCACCCAUCAGCAGACAGGCUGCCUAAAGACUUCCUGAACCCACAGUCACCUCUAGAAAAGCCCCUAGACAUGGCCUGCCCACCAGAGGGCCAAGACCCAAUUCCACCUCCCAGUGGGGAGGCAUAGGCCCUUCCCUUCAGGAAGCCCUGAAGACCCAGCCCGCUUACAGUAGGCAAGAGCCUACCCUGGGACCAGCUGGGCCCUGGCCCUGUACACUAGCAGGCCAACGCAAGCUUUGAGAUACCCUAGAUCCCAUACCCAACUGUGUCAGGAAUUGCCCCCCUCCAACCUGAAAUGAGCUCAGGGAUCCCUGGGCCCUGCAGCCAGACUCCAGGAACUGGCUCUGCUUGCCUGGCACUAACCCCUGAACCUGGCUUUACCUGCCAGUGGAUCAGCAACAGCCCAAGAGUCUGCGGGACCCUGACUCCGGCCACCAGUGAGCCAGCACUAGCCCCGGGACACCCCUAGGGUUCCGCAGCCAGUGCCUUGUGACCAGGCCACACUAACUAGCAGCCAGCAGCAUCUGUACAAGGCAGAGCUUGGCAACCAACUGGGCCAGGGGCCAACCAAGCCUACCAGACUGCCCACAUACGCCGCCACAACAGAAGGACCCAUGCAGCUGUCUUAGGUGGCACCCCAAGAGCAUAUACCUUGGGUGAUGAGAGGGGAGUGCACUGCUGGGAUGCACAGGACAUCUACAGAAGGCCACUUAUGCAAGGUUGAGAAACGUAACUAACCUACCACAUAUAUAAAAAUACAAAUUGCAACUUAGACAAAAUGGGGUGGCAGAGGAACAUGUUCCAGACGAAGAAACAAGAUAAAGCCCAGAAGAAGAAUUAAGUGAAGUGGAGCUAGGCAAUAUACCCGAGAAAAAGUUCAGAGUUAUGAUCAUAAAGAUGAUCAAAGAACUCAGAAGAAGAAUGGAUGUACAGAGGGAGAAAUCAGAAGUUCAAACAAAGAGAAGAGAUGAUAACUGAACAGAGAUGAAGAAUACAAAAAAUGAAAUGAAAAAUACACUAGAAGGAAUCAAUAGUAGACUAAAUGAUAUGGGGGAAUGGAUCAGUGAGCUGGAAGACAGUAAUAGAAGACAGAGUAAUGGAAAUCAUUGCCACUGAACAGAAGAAAUAAUGAAAAGAAAUGAGGACAGUUUAAGAGACCUCUGGGACAAUAUCUAGAGCACUAAUAUUCACAUUAUAGGGGUCUCAGAAGGAGAAGAGAAAGGACCUGAGAAAAUAUUUGAAGACAUAAUAGCUAAAAACUUCCCUAACCACGGAAAGGAAACAAUCACCCAAGUCUAGGAAGUGCAGAAAGUCCCAUACAGGAUUAACCCAAAGAGGAACACAACAAGACACAUUGUAAUUAAAAUGACAAAAAGAUAAACAGAAUGACAAAAAGACAAAAUGACAAAAAGAUAAACAGAAAAAGCAGCAAGGGAAAAGUAACAACAUACAAGGGCACUCCCAUAAGGCCAUCAGUUGAUUUUUCAGCAGAAACUCUGCAGGCCAGGAGGGAGUAGCACGAUACAUUUAAAAUGAUGAAAGGGGAAAAUCUACAACCAAGAAUACUUUACCCAGCAAGGCUCUUGUUCAGAUUUGAUAGAGAAAUCCAAAGCUUUACAGAUAAGCAAAAACUAAAAGAGUUCAGCACCAUCAAACCAGCUUUGCAACAAAUGUUAAAUGAUCUCUAGGCAAAAAAGAAAAGGCCACAACUAGAAACAAGAAAAUUACAAAAUGACAAAGCUCACCAGUGAAGGCAAACAUACAGUAAAGGCAGGAAAUCACCACCACACAAAGCUAAUAGGGAGGUUAAAAGAUACAGGUAGUAAAAUCAUCUAUAUCCACAAUAAGCAGUUAAGGGAUACACAAAACAAUUAGAUAAAAUAUAUCAAAAACAGUAAUCAUGAGGGGAGGAGAGUACAAAUGUAGGGUUUUAAAAAUGCAUUUGAAAUUAAGAGGUCAUCAACUCAAAAUAAUCACAUCUCUAUAUAAAGACUGCUAUACAAAAACAUCAUGGUAAGUGUAAACCAAAAAUCUAUAAUAGAUAUACACACAAAAAAGAAAAAGAAAUCCAAACAUAACACUGAAGAUAGUCAUCAAAUCAUGAGAGAAGAGAACAAAAGAAGAAGAAAGCAGAAAAAGCCAAAUCCAAAACAAUUAACAAAACAGCAAUAAGAACAUACAUAUCAACAAUUACCUUAAAUGUAAAUGGACUAAAUGCUCCAACCAAAAGACACAGAGUGGCUGAAUGGAUACGAAAACAAGACCCAUAGAUAUGCUUCCUACAAGAGACUCACUUCAGCUCUAGAGACACAUACAGACUAAAAGUGAGGAGAUGGAAAAAAGUAUUCCAUGCAAAUGGAAAUCAAAAGAAAGAGUAGCAAUACUUACAUCAGACAAAAUAGACUUUAAAGACUAUUACAUGAUACAAAGAAGGGCACUACACAGUGAUCAAGGGAUCAAUCCAAGAAGAAGAUACAAUUGUAAAUAUAUAUGCAUCCAACAUAGGGGCACCUAAAUAUAUAAGACAAAUAUUAACAGACAUGAAAGGAGAAAUCGAUACUAACACAAUAAUUGUAGGGGACUUUAACAUCUUAACAUCCCACUUACAUCAAUGGACAGAUGAUCCAGACAGAAAAUCAAUAAGGAAACACAGGCCUUAAAUGACACAUUAGACCAAAUGAACUUAACUGAUAUAUAAAGAGCAUUCCAUCCAAAAGCAGCAGCAUACACAUUCUUUUCAAGUGCACAUGGAACAUUCUUCUGGAUAGAUCACAUGCUAGGCCACAAAACAAACCUUGGUAAAUUUCAGAAAGUUGAAAUCAUAUCAACCAUCUUUUCCGACCACAACACUAUGAAACUAGAAAUCAACUACAAGAAAAAACCUGCAAAAAAAAUACGUGGAGGCUAACCAAUAUGCUACUAAACAACCACUGGAUCACUGCAGAAAUCAAAGAGGAAAUCAAAAAAUACCUAGAGACAAAACGAAAACAUGACGAUCUAAAACCUAUGGGAUGUAGCAAAAGCGAUGCUAAGAGGGAGGUUUAUAGUGAUACAAACUUACCACAGGAAACAAGAAACAUCUCAAACAACCUAACCUUACAUCUAAAGCAACUAGGGA